rnacentral:rRNA from 1 species
GACGAACCAAGCAAACGUUGUUCGGAAUCACUGGGCUUAAAGGGCGCGUAGGCGGUCCCUCAAGUCCGGGGUGAAAUCUUUCGGCUCAACCGGAAAAUUGCCUCGGAUACUGUGGGGCUCGAGUGAGGUAGGGGUAACGGGAACAUCCAGUGGAGCGGUGAAAUGCGUUGAUAUUGGAUGGAACGCCGGUGGCGAAAGCGCGUUACUGGACCUUUUCUGACGCUGAGGCGCGAAAGCCAGGGUAGCGAACGGG